CUUCUCUUCUCCCAGUGUGGCCCCUACACGGGUAUGAAACUGCUGGUGCUGAUUAGCAACGAGUCCUGGGCCUGGCUUCUUGGAUAACUGUGGAGCAACUGCAUGUUGGGGGGUGGUGGUGGUGAUGGUUUCUGAAGCCUGCCUUUAAUAACGAUUAGGAUGGGUCUGGGCUUCCUGAAUGUGAAUCUCUCAGUAUUAUGAACUUUCAUUCUGUUCUCUGCCUCUGAUUUACCAAUAGGGUGGGUUGGCUGCUCAGGAGAGUGGUGAAGGGCUCCAUAUCCUUUUACCUCAAGGUCACUUGUUUUGUGGGCAGAUGACUUCAGUCUGUAGAGCUGGCAGGCUGGCACCUUUGACCAGCUAAUGUCUCUGUCCAAACCAAAUAAAAUGUAAAAAGUAAGCUGGAUGUUAAAAGUUCCCAUUUACCAUAAAUUCCUUUGUGUAACAACUUCCAUAAAUUACAUGUGGGAAGCUGUUUGUUAGACCCUGCUGGGCAUUCUUCUCUGCAUAUCAUCCUUCAGCGUGUAGCAGACAUUCACUUGAGUUACAGUUUGUUUCCCUCUUAAUGUCCUUAUCCUAUUCAGGGCUCACUUCAUUGUGCACUUAGAACCUCACACACUUU